GCUGGGCAUGGUGGCGCAUGCCUGUGAUCCCAGUUACGUGGGAGGCUGAAGUGGGAGGAUCUCUUGAGCCUGGGAGGUCGAGGCUGGAGUGAGCCGUGAUGGCACCACUACACUCCAGCCUGGGCGAUAGAGUGAGACCCUGUCUCUC
rnacentral:SRP_RNA from 1 species